GUGUGCGCUCAGCAGGACGUGGGAGGCUCCGGCUUCAAGGUCGACACUCAUCCAAGAGGAAGGAUGGCCAGUAUCUUUUCUAAGUUGCUAACUGGCCGCAAUGCUUCUCUGCUGUUUGCUACCAUGGGCACCAGUGUCCUGACCACCGGGUACCUGCUGAACCAGCAGAAAGUGUGUGCCGAGGUCAGGGAGCAGCCUAGGCUAUUUCCUCCAAGGAUCCUUCUGUGAUGAAAUGAAGGCCUAGAAAAAUUAAACAGUGCCCAAGUUCACAUAGCUAGUACAGCCAAAUGCAAAUCCAGGCCCCCUGAUUCCAGACCCAUGCCCCUCUCACUGCUCUACCACCUUCUGGAAAAAGGGAUAUCGUAGUACUGACUUUAAGUAUCAGCUCUAAAGGACACUGCAGAUGGAAAGUGGAGGAGUGGUGUGAGAGGGAUGAAAAUAACGUGUUUUCUCAGCCCUUGGAACCCUGCCAUGGAUGAGAUACCAUGCGCUGAGCAGAGUUUGAGUGGCAUGCAGAAUUCCACAUAGGCAGGUAUGGAUGAGAGAGAUGAGGAAAACCACUGAGGUGUCUCUGAGACAUUUACUGUCUCUUAUGGAAAUCAGGA
rnacentral:sRNA from 1 species